UACGGGGGGGGCAAGCGUUUGUUCGGAAUUACUGGGCGUAAAGGGCUCGUAGGCGGCCAACUAAGUCAGACGUGAAAUCCCUCGGCUUAACCGGGGAACUGCGUCUGAUACUGGAUGGCUUUGAGUUCGGGAGAGGGAUGCGGAAUUCCAGGUGUAGCGGUGAAAUGCGUAGAUAUCUGGAGGAACACCGGUGGCGAAGGCGGCAUCCUGGACCGAUACUGACGUGAUGAG
rnacentral:rRNA from 1 species